GGGGAUAUGGCUCAGUUGGGAGAGCGUCGCACUUGCACUGCGAAGGUCAGCGGUUCGAACCCGCUUAUCUCCACCA
rnacentral:tRNA from 1 species